AAACCCCAAAACUGAGCCUCUACUUUCACCAAUCCUCUUUGUCGGGCACUCUCUCAUGGGAAGCUGACGAAGACGCGUGGAAGUGAUCAUUUUUGGAGGUCGAAAAAAAUCGAGGGGAUAAUGGGGGUGAAUUCUGGUAUAUUCUUUCAUGAAAUCUCUCGUGUGUCUUUUAUAUCGCGAUUUAAUUUAGGAGUAAUAAUAAUUUGAGAUGAAUUAAUGAAAAAUAAAAUUGGGUCUGUUGGGAGGAAAUUCGAAACUGGUGAACAUCGGGCCCUUCCAUUGGGGACUGAAUAAGAGAUUUAUCGGGUUUCCUGGACUCCAAAAAAUUGAAAUACAAGAGAAACAAGCGUCCAAAGUCUUUCCUCGAAAUUCUGCUAGUCGAAUAAGUGAUCAGAAUAAAUUUAUCUCCAAUUUAAUAGUCAUGAAUUAAUUACAAAUAUCACAUAAUGACAUCAACACUGA